GACGAACGCUGGCGGCGUGCUUAACACAUGCAAGUCGAACGGAAAGGCCCUGCUUUUGUGGGGUGCUCGAGUGGCGAACGGGUGAGUAACACGUGAGUAACCUGCCCUUGACUUCGGGAUAACUUCAGGAAACUGGGGCUCAUACCGGAUAGGAGCUCCUGCUGCAUGGUGGGGGUUGGAAAGUUUCGGCGGUUGGGGAUGGACUCGCGGCUUAUCAGCUUGUUGGUGGGGUAGUGGCUUACCAAGGCUUUGACGGGUAGCCGGCCUGAGAGGGUGACCGGCCACAUUGGGACUGAGAUACGGCCCAGACUCCUACGGGAGGCAGCAGUGGGGAAUAUUGCACAAUGGGCGGAAGCCUGAUGCAGCAACGCCGCGUGCGGGAUGACGGCCUUCGGGUUGUAAACCGCUUUCGCCUGUGACGAAGCGUGAGUGACGGUAAUGGGUAAAGAAGCACCGGCUAACUACGUG
rnacentral:rRNA from 1 species